rnacentral:lncRNA from 1 species
GAUUUCCUUCCUCUAAACCUGUAAUUUCAAAUUCAGGUGUAACUCAGUUCAUCAAGACUGGUUCAGAUAGAUAUUUUAAAAAUUAAGAAGCUUCCCCACUACCAGUGUUACCUGAUACUUUUUUGCCAGAGACAUUUUCUUUCCAGACCCUCUUCUUCUGGAGCAGUUAAAGACUUCACUGUCUUACCUGAAAGAGAAUGAACAAAUGAGAAACGUGCAAACAAGUUCAAAGACCAUAAAGAAACAAUUCUUAUUUAUCUCAAGCUAUAUAUAACUUGUUUGGAUGCUGCAUGGUGCUACCUCACUUACUGGGGGGUUUCAAUAUCUUCUUCUAGGGGGCCUCCCUGGGCUCAGGUGUGUCAGAUUUUAUUAUUAAAAGAAGCAGGAUGACACUCUGCUCUACCUUACAUCAUCUAACAAAAGAAUACAUACACAAAAUACUAUUCCAGGUUACUGCAGCCUCAUGCUGAGGCAGCAACCUUGCCCUAAGUUUCUACACAGAGGCGCCUUUUCUGAAACAAAAUGUCCAAGCCUGGUGUUAACAGACACAAGUUGUUAGUGCAGGACAGUGAGCACACCAUGAACCCUUGACUUGUGACCUUCAUCAAGCUCCAGGGCACCCAGCCUUGAUAUUUUAUUAUGCACCAGCUUUUCUCAGCAGGAGGCAGAGUUGAUUCAAGCACAAACCCACUGAAGUUGACAUGUCCCUAAUUGUAUUACCCCUAACCUUUAUAUUCUUGAUCAGAUCAACUGCUAUCGACCUAAAACCACCAUCCACCCGUCAGGAAGUAGGUGGGAAAAUGAACAAAAGAAUACAAAGAUAUUCACAGUUCUGUUUCUGAUAAAGACCCUUCCUACAUCUUAAUAGGGAUGUGCAGCCUUGUGCCUGGCAUGCCACAGGGGAGACUAAAAAGACAAGCUAUGGGAUCCUUGUGAGGGAUAACUCUGUGUUGCUCCCCUGCCCUUUUUACGGAUGAUCACACACAACACGCAGAUGUCGAGGACAGCAUCAAAACUUGGCUUAAGGAAGUGGAAAGAAGGGAAAGGGCAACCUCAGGCACAUCCAAGCACAUCUAAAGGGGGCAUGAAUUUACAGAGUGGAUCCCAGACUGUUCAGGUAAUAGCCUUACGUUAAGUGCAGCAGACACUUUGUCACACACAGAGCUGCCCUGCAAAGCUUCUGAAGCUGUGUAUCCCAUGGCAAGGGAGGUGCUCAAGUGGCACCCACAGACACCCACGAUGCAGCUCCAGCAGCAGCUUGGUGCUCCCAGCACCCUCCUUUGCAUGGCCCCAGAUGUGCUUCAAAAGGCUCCUACAGACCCAUGC